UACGGGGGGGGGCAAGCGUUGUUCGGAAUUACUGGGCGUAAAGGGCUCGUAGGCGGCCAACUAAGUCAGACGUGAAAUCCCUCGGCUUAACCGGGGAACUGCGUCUGAUACUGGAUGGCUUGAGGUUGGGAGAGGGAUGCGGAAUUCCAGGUGUAGCGGUGAAAUGCGCAGAUAUCAGGAGGAACACCGGUGGCGAAGGCGGGUCUCUGGGCCGGUACUGACGCUGAGGAGCGAAAGCGUGGGGAGCAAACAGG
rnacentral:rRNA from 1 species